rnacentral:lncRNA from 1 species
GCAUACACAACAGUCAUCCAGCAAACAGGAUGCCAUGUUUUAUUUAGAAUUUCACAAUGCAUAAAGUGAUCCGAGCACGCAUGUUUAAUCAACUUCAUACUAUCAUUUUUCUACAUAAUUCAAAUUCGUCCAUUUGGGUGAUCGUCAUAUUUAUCAAACCAUUUCCAAUUAUUACCAAAACCCCGUCUCACCUUAGGUGCAUUAUUUCUCUUUACUCGAGUCUCCAAAAGAGCUACACAAGACACAUUCAAAGUUUUAAGAUGUGUCCCAAUCUCAAUAUGUCUUGCCUUUUUAUUUAGGUCCAUAAUGUUCCAAGUAAGAAUCAUGGAGGUAAAUAGUCUUCAUCCUCCUCACCUCCUAGAAUUUCAAAACCAUUUCUAUAGCCAACACCAAUGUUAUUUGAUGUCUCCAAUCUGUUAACAUCAGUUACUACUCAUUUGCCUUUUAUCUUGUUAGAUGUGAGUAUCUUGAUCCACUCUGGUUAUUUCUCUUCAAUCUCAAUGUUAGACUAUUUAUUUUCCUCUCUUAUUGGUUCUACUUGUAGCUGCACUUGAUUAGGUUUCAUAAUCCAUUAUUGUUUGAGUUGUCUUUCAUCUUUCUUCUUUUGUUUCACUAUACAAUCAAGCCCAACUUGGUUACAUUCUUAGAAAUAGCUUGGCUUCCAUUCAUACUUUACUGGUUGACUGAACUUGUUGCCCUAUGGAUCUCUAAUUGUGAUAUGUUCCUUCAAUUUCAUAGUAAUGUCAACCUCAAUAAGAACUCGUGCAUAUGAUACUAUUAGUUUCUUCGCAGUGCAUUCAUCCAUCAUCAUCAAUUUGCCAAUACCACUAGUUAUUUUCCCUAGACUUCGUUCUCCCCGGUAAAUGAGAGGUAGCUGAUGGAAGAUAACCCAAAUUGGAACCACUCUAACUGCAUCUUCUUUGAAGGUAAAGUCAAGUUUCUAUUCUUACAAGAAAAUGGGUUUACGAGAUAUUGUACUAUCCAUUACUUUGAUAUUUAAUAUAAGUUAUAAUUUAUAAAUAUUAAAAUAUAUUUUAAACUAAUAAUUUUAUCAAUUUAACAAAUAUAUAAUUUUUUAAAAUAUUAAAAGUAUUAGUUGUGGAUUUAAUUUAAUUUAAUUUAUUUUUUUGUGUUUUUACUUACAAAAUCAUUUGUAAUUUCUUUUACUCCAGAUAUUUGAUACGUCAAUAAUAAUAUUUUCAGAAAGAGAUAAAAUUGAAUUUUUAUUAAAUGCACAAAAAAGAUACACGGCAUAGCUUUAAAAUUUUCCUUUAACUAUAGCCCAAAUUUAAUUUGGCUCAACUAUAUCCAACUAAAAAAUGCUUUGGUCCAUCGUGAACUGCUUAGCCCAAAGUGACAGCUUUAACAAACAUAAACAUUUGGAAAUAAAAAAAAAGGAGUAGAAAUUCGUGAUAAUAAUAAUAAUACUAGUGCUAAAAAAAGGGUGAAAUCUUUAUAUCUAAAAAUAAAAUAUGUGUAAAUUAUUUUUAUUUUUGAAGUUAUUUAUUUAUUUAAACUAUCAAAGCAGCAUUUAUUAAUUUUUUAAUAUAAUCUUAUUUAUUAUAUUUUUAUUUAUCUAACUAUUUUGUUAACUAUUAUUAAUAAGAAUAUUUUUAUAAAUAAAAUAUCUUAUUAUUAUAUUAAAAUCAAAUAUAUUAAUUAUUAUAUUGAAAAUAUGAAAAACUAAAAAAGCACUGAAGUAAUUUUUGCACCUAUAAUAGUUACAAAAUAUGUGUGCUAAAUUGAUUAAAAAUGGCGUUUUUUAUUUGUUGAUUAAAAAUGAGAGAGUCUGAUCAAUUGGGUCUAGAAGAGUAGAGAUUUUCUUCAUUUUCUAAAAAACCAUAGAAUUUCAUUAGUAUAGUUUUUGAUAUAUAUAGUCAAAUCAAUGUUGAAUCUAUGUUCUAUGUCUUUAAAAUGUGUGCUAUUUAGACACAAAGAGUAUAGCAUAAGGGAAAAAGAAAAAGAAAAAAAGAAAAAAAGAAAAGAAAAGAAAAGAAAAUA